UUCUCAUGAAACCCUCUUUCUUCUCUCUCUUGCCCAUGUCUCUCCAUUUCUCUCACUUCCUAAAUUCGUAAAUUUCUUUUGCUCCCUACCUGUCUGUUCUCUCCACUUGCUGGGUAUCAUUGAUCUCAUCUACUGCUUCACCUAUUAGUUUGCUACUUGCUUUCUGGGAUUUUCAUUUUGAUUCUUGAUAUUCAAUAUUUCAAUUCAGCCACCAACUGGGACUAUAGUGGAGUAACUGUUUCGUUCAUCAUAGCAAUCAGAGAUUGCUCGAUAGUAAGAUUCUGGGCACUUUCAUCGUGGAAUCGAUUUUCUUCCGUCAUCGGCAAGAUCGGGGGCUAAAUCUCAAGCAUCGGCUUGCAGUGGCUCAAGCUUCUUUUGAGUGAGGGAACGAUUGUGGAAGUAAGGGAUCUUCUCCUGAGGUAAUAUUUUUCUGGAGUUGUUGUUUAUUC